AAACUUUGCUUUUGGUGUAUCAUUUUUUUUUAGAACUGCGUUUGUAUGAAAUGUGUGCCUUGAUAUUGUAUCAAUUUCGUUUUCCAAACGCAUCCCAAGUUUAAAAUUUUUCACCCAACACAAAAUUGGUAAAAGGAAUCUCUUCAUCCAUUUCCAUUCUCAAUUUUAUUCAAAGUAUAAUGACAGUAAUAAGACUGUAGGUGUGCAGUUAGAUACUUAAAAGAGAACACUUUUCUCAGUCAGAGUUCUCAACAACAAACCAUUGAACUAUAUUUUUUCGCCUUUGGCACUACUAAUCUGAAGUAGUAAUAUUUAAGAACAUCAAAACCAUUAAUACAUAAAACUAUUUAAACACCAUUUGUUGAAUAGUAAUAUUUAUAAUUUAUCAUUAUAACAAGUAUUAUUUAGUACAUAAUUAUGAAAAAAAUAAGCAAC
rnacentral:lncRNA from 1 species